rnacentral:rRNA from 1 species
UGGGGAAUAUUGGACAAUGGGCGCAAGCCUGAUCCAGCAAUGCCGCGUGAGUGAUGAAGGCCUUAGGGUUGUAAAGCUCUUUCGCCCGCGACGAUGAUGACGGUAGCGGGAGAAGAAGCCCCGGCUAACUCCGUGCCAGCAGCCGCGGUAAUACGGAGGGGGCUAGCGUUGUUCGGAAUUACUGGGCGUAAAGGGCGCGCAGGCGGCUGCUCAAGUCAGGCGUGAAAGGCCUGGGCUCAACCCGGGAAUUGCGCUUGAGACUGGGCUGGCUUGAGUGCGGGAGAGGGAUGGUGGAAUUCCCAGUGUAGAGGUGAAAUUCGUAGAUAUUGGGAAGACACCGGUGGCGAAGGCGGCCAUCUGGACCGCAACUGACGCUGAGGCGCGAAAGCGUGGGGAGCAAACAGGAUUAGAUACCCUGGUAGUCCACGCCGUAAACGAUGAGUGCUAGACGUUGGGAAGCCUAGCUUUCCGGUGUCGCAGCUAACG